UACGUAGGGUGCGAGCGUUAAUCGGAAUUACUGGGCGUAAAGCGUGCGCAGGCGGUUCGCUGUGUCCGAUGUGAAAGCCCCGGGCUUAACCUGGGAAUGGCAUUGGAAACUGGCGAGCUGGAGUGUGGCAGAGGGGGGUGGAAUUCCGCGUGUAGCAGUGAAAUGCGUAGAGAUGCGGAGGAACACCGAUGGCGAAGGCAGCCCCCUGGGUUAACACUGACGCUCAGGCACGAAAGCGUGGGGAGCAAACCGG
rnacentral:rRNA from 1 species